AGAGUUUGAUCCUGGCUCAGGAUGAACGCUGGCGGCGUGCCUAACACAUGCAAGUCGAGCGGGGACUUCGGUCCUAGCGGCGGACGGGUGAGUAACGCGUGGGUAACCUGCCCUAUACACAUGGAUAACAUACCGAAAGGUAUGCUAAUACAAGAUAAAACAUUGAUAAGGCAUCUUAUUAAUGUCAAAGCUUUUGCGGUAUAGGAUGGACCCGCGUCCCAUUAGUUAGUUGGUGAGGUAACGGCUCACCAAGACCACGAUGGGUAGCCGACCUGAGAGGGUGAUCGGCCACACUGGAACUGAGACACGGUCCAGACUCCUACGGGAGGCAGCAGUGGGGAAUAUUGCACAAUGGGCGCAAGCCUGAUGCAGCAACGCCGCGUGAGCGAUGAAGGCCUUCGGGUCGUAAAGCUCUGUCCUCAAGGAAGAAAAAAAUGACGGUACCAUAGGAGGAAGCCACGGCUAACUACGUGCCAGCAGCCGCGGUAAUACGUAGGUGGCAAGCGUUGUCCGGAAUUAUUGGGCGUAAAGGAUGUUAGGUGGCUGAUCAAGCCAGGGGUGAAAGGCAUUGGCUUAACCAAUGUAAGCCUUUGGAACUGUUGGGCUUGAGUGCAGGAGAGGUAAGUGGAAUUCCUAGUGUAGAGGUGAAAUUCGUAGAUAUUAGGAGGAACACCAGUGGCGAAGGCGGUUGCCUGGCCUGUAACUGACGCUGAGGCACGAAAGCGUGGGGAGCAAACAGGAUUAGAUACCCUGGUAGUCCACGCCGUAAACGAUGAGUACUAGGUGUCGCGGGUAUUGACCCCUGCGGUGCCGCAGCUAACGCAUUAAGUUCCCCGCCUGGGGAGUACGGCCGCAAGGCUAAGGAAUUGACAGGGGCCCGCACAAGCAGCGGAGCAUGUGGUUUAAUUCGAAGCAACGCGAAGAACCUUACCAGAACUUGACAUCGUCUGAAUUACUCUUAAUCGAGGAAGCCUUUCGGGGCAGAUAGACAGGUGGUGCAUGGUUGUCGUCAGCUCGUGUCGUGAGAUGUUGGGUUAAGUCCCGCAACGAGCGCAACCCUUAUUGCUAGUUGCCAUCAUUAAGUUGGGCACUCUAGUGAGACUGCCGGAGACAAUUCGGAGGAAGGUGGGGAUGACGUCAAAUCAUCAUGCCCCUUAUGUUCUGGGCUACACACGUGCUACAACGGGUGUAACAACGGGAAGCAAGGCCGCGAGGUGGAGCCAAUCCCUGAAAGCCGUUCUCAGUUCGGAUUGCAGGCUGCAACUCGCCUGCAUGAAGUCGGAAUCGCUAGUAAUCGCAGGUCAGCAUACUGCGGUGAAUACGUUCCCGGGUCUUGUACACACCGCCCGUCACACCACGAGAGUU
rnacentral:rRNA from 1 species